GGGCCGGUAGAUCAGCCUGGCAGAUCGUUCGGUUUGCAUCCGAAAGGUCGCGAGUUCAAAUCUCGCCCGGUCCACCA
rnacentral:tRNA from 1 species